ACGGGAGGCAGCAGUGGGGGAUAUUGCACAAUGGGGGAAACCCUGAUGCAGCGACGCCGCGUGAGUGAUGAAGUAUUUCGGUAUGUAAAGCUCUAUCAGCAGGGAAGAAAAUGACGGUACUUGACUAAGAAGCUCCGGCUAAAUACGUGCCAGCAGCCGCGGUAAUACGUAUGGAGCAAGCGUUAUCCGGAUUUACUGGGUGUAAAGGGAGCGUAGACGGCAAAGCAAGUCUGAAGUGAAAUCCCGGGGCUCAACCCCGGAACUGCUUUGGAAACUGUUUAGCUAGAGUGCAGGAGAGGUAAGCGGAAUUCCUAGUGUAGCGGUGAAAUGCGUAGAUAUUAGGAGGAACACCAGUGGCGAAGGCGGCUUACUGGACUGUAACUGACGUUGAGGCUCGAAAGCGUGGGGAGCAAACAGGAUUAGAUACCCUGGUA
rnacentral:rRNA from 1 species